rnacentral:rRNA from 1 species
CCUACGGGAGGCAGCAGUGGGGAAUAUUGCACAAUGGGGGAAACCCUGAUGCAGCGACGCCGCGUGAGUGAAGAAGUAAUUCGGUAUGUAAAGCUCUAUUAGCAGGGAAGAAAAUGACGGUACCUGAGUAAGAAGCCCCGGCUAACUACGUGCCAGCAGCCGCGGUAAUACGUAGGGGGCAAGCGUUAUCCGGAUUUACUGGGUGUAAAGGGAGCGUAGACGGCAGUGCAAGUCUGGAGUGAAAGGCGGGGGCUCAACCCCCGGACUGCUCUGGAAACUGUACGGCUGGAGUGCAGGAGAGGUAGGUGGAAUUCCUGGUGUAGCGGUGAAAUGCGUAGAUAUCAGGAAGAACACCAGUUGCGAAGGCAGCUUACUGGACUGUAACUGACGUUGAGGCUCGAAAGCGUGGGGAGCAAACAGGAUUAGAUACCCCAGUAGUC